UACGUAGGGUGCAAGCGUUGUUCGGAAUCACUGGGCGUAAAGGGAGCGUAGGCGGGGAUGUAAGUCAGGAGUUUAAUGCAUAGGCUUAACCUGUGUGUGGCUUUUGAUACUGCAUUUCUUGAGUAUGGGAGAGGAAGAUAGAAUUCCAGGUGUAGCGGUGGAAUGCGUAGAUAUCUGGAAGAAUACCAGUUGCGUAGGCGGUCUUCUGGCCCAAUACUGACGCUGAUGCUCGAAAGCUAGGGGAG
rnacentral:rRNA from 1 species